ensembl:lncRNA
AUGGGUUUGGUUCAGAUCUUUUUUCCCAAGUUUCUCAUUUUUCUAGGACCAGCAGCUGUGCAGGAAUGUUCCUCUAAAGAAGAUGGGAAAAGUUUAAGAAGCACGAUUAACCAGGAAAACAGUGCUAGGGAUGAAUCAUGGCUGCACCAUCUAAUUUCAUCUACUCUUAAAGGAGCAGGAUCCCCGAUGAAUCAUCACCAAGUAUGUGGUAAGUUAUUAAGUCUAAAUACCAGCCCCAGGGUCCUGAACCCAAGCCAAAUGCCAGUGAUGGAGAUUGUUAAGUCCAAUUUAGGGAAGCACUGAAGUCAAAGCUUUCUAAUUCGACUGUCAAACCCUCCCUGACUGAAAUCAGCUCUACCCGUAGUACUCUUAGAAAUGAUGGUUUCCAUCUCCUUCCAAACCACCAGGCCAACUUCAAAAGUUAAGGGUUUGGUAGUUACAUUGGCCUGAGAUUGAAUCCUAGGGUUGAUUCUCCAAAGAUUCGGGCAAGUAAUUUAAGUUCUGUGAGCCAGUUUCCCCACUGAAACAAUGAGGACAUAUACAGUAGAACCUAUCUUGUUAAGUACAAGGUAGUCCAGCAAAAAUACUUAACAACUAGUCCAGCAAAGACACCAACCUAUCAGUAUGGAGUCUCCAUGGAAGUCCCCAGCUGUACUGGAUAACGAGGCGGGAGCAGUUCAGGGGGUCUCGGGAGAGGUCAAGGUAGGACUGCCAGUUGAGCCUUUCCUCUCCAUAUUUCAGAUUCUCCACAAAUGGACUGUGGCCAUGAACUUGGAGUGGGUAUAGAGUGAUUCAGAGGAUGCAACAAGGAAAGGAAGUUGGAAAGUUGCAGAGAGUAGAUUGGGAGACCUACAAAUUGGGAAGACUUUUCCUUGAAUAACUAAGAGGCAGUUGCAGUUGAAACCAUGGAACUAGAGGGAAGCGAAGAAAGCCACUGAGUGGCCACUCUGAGCCAGGUGGUGUCAGAGGGCAGUGGUGAAACAAGGGUUGCCCUUGGAGGCAGAUAAUCUGGAAGUGAUCCUGGCUCCAUCCCUAACUAGCUGUGUGAGCUAGGGAACAUAUCAUAACCUCUGUGUGACUCACCUUUUUCAUUUGUAAAAUGGGCAUAACAAUCAUAUACACCACAUUUUGACAUUGUAAGAAUUAAGUGAAUUAAUUGGGGUUAAGUAGGAGAACUCAGAACAGUGUCUGGAAAAAAAAAUUACAUUUUGAAAGAAAGGAAUCCUAUGAAUGUUCUAAUUGUGGGAAACAUUCUCCCAGAAUGCAAAUCUAAUUAGCAACGUAGAAUUCACACCAGGGAGGACAUGUGUAGAUAAAGUGAGAGAGAAGGUUUCAUCAACACAUCUAAGAAUUAAAACCUAUGGAUAUACUGGAUGUCAAAAAUCCUGCAGCAAGAAAUCCAGUGUCACUGUAUUUAGAGAUUCAUAGCAAGGUGAAAUUCUACCAGAAUGGUGAAUUAGAAAGAGCAUUUCUCCUAAAACUAAUGAUAGAAGGAUAAUGAUGCUCUAGAAUGAUAUAUUUUUAUAGGAUAGAUUUAAUUAUAGAGUGUAUCUGUAUCUAUAUUAACUGUGGAUAUUAAGCUGUGAAAUCUGAAUAAAUGAAAUCAUUAAGACA